rnacentral:rRNA from 1 species
GACGAGCGCUGGCGGCGUGCUUAACACAUGCAAGUCGAACGCUGAAGCUUGGUGCUUGCACUGGGUGGAUGAGUGGCGAACGGGUGAGUAAUACGUGAGUAACCUGCCCUUGACUCUGGGAUAAGCCUGGGAAACUGGGUCUAAUACUGGAUAUGACAUGCCACUGCAUGGUGGUGUGUGGAAAGGGUUUUACUGGUUUUGGAUGGGCUCACGGCCUAUCAGCUUGUUGGUGGGGUAAUGGCCUACCAAGGCGACGACGGGUAGCCGGCCUGAGAGGGUGACCGGCCACACUGGGACUGAGACACGGCCCAGACUCCUACGGGAGGCAGCAGUGGGGAAUAUUGCACAAUGGGCGGAAGCCUGAUGCAGCGACGCCGCGUGAGGGAUGACGGCCUUCGGGUUGUAAACCUCUUUCAGCACGGAAGAAGCGAGAGUGACGGUGCGUGCAGAAGAAGCGCCGGCUAACUACGUG